rnacentral:tRNA from 1 species
CGGGAUGUAGCGUAGCUCGGUAGCGCGCCUCGUUCGGGACGAGGAGGUCGCUGGUUCAAAUCCAGUCAUCCCGA